rnacentral:rRNA from 1 species
GACGAACGCUGGCGGCGUGCUUAACACAUGCAAGUCGAACGAUGAAGCCGGAGCUUGCUCUGGUGAAUUAGUGGCGAACGGGUGAGUGACACGUGAGUAACCUGCCCUUGACUCUGGGAUAACUGCGGGAAACUGUAGCUAAUACCGGGUACGACCCUCGGAGGCAUCUCCUGGGGGUGGAAAGAAUUUCGGUCAAGGAUGGACUCGCGGCCUAUCAGCUAGUUGGUGAGGUAAAGGCUCACCAAGGCGACGACGGGUAGCCGGCCUGAGAGGGUGACCGGCCACACUGGGACUGAGACACGGCCCAGACUCCUACGGGAGGCAGCAGUGGGGAAUAUUGCACAAUGGGCGCAAGCCUGAUGCAGCAACGCCGCGUGAGGGAUGACGGCCUUCGGGUUGUAAACCUCUUUUAGCAGGGAAGAAGCGAAAGUGACGGUACCUGCAGAAAAAGCACCGGCUAACUACGUGCCAGCCGCCGCAGUAA